AUUUCCCUCUUUCUUCCGGCCUCCCCCCUGCACGUCGAGCGGAUGAAGGGAGCUUGCUCCUGGAUUCAGCGGCGGACGGGUGAGUAAUGCCUAGGAAUCUGCCUGGUAGUGGGGGAUAACGUCCGGAAACGGGCGCUAAUACCGCAUACGUCCUGAGGGAGAAAGUGGGGGAUCUUCGGACCUCACGCUAUCAGAUGAGCCUAGGUCGGAUUAGCUAGUUGGUGGGGUAAAGGCCUACCAAGGCGACGAUCCGUAACUGGUCUGAGAGGAUGAUCAGUCACACUGGAACUGAGACACGGUCCAGACUCCUACGGGAGGCAGCAGUGGGGAAUAUUGGACAAUGGGCGAAAGCCUGAUCCAGCCAUGCCGCGUGUGUGAAGAAGGUCUUCGGAUUGUAAAGCACUUUAAGUUGGGAGGAAGGGCAGUAAGUUAAUACCUUGCUGUUUUGACGUUACCAACAGAAUAAGCACCGGCUAACUUCGUG
rnacentral:rRNA from 1 species